rnacentral:rRNA from 1 species
GACGAACGCUGGCGGCGUGCCUAAUACAUGCAAGUCGAACGCAGUGGGGACGGGUGAGUAACACGUGGGUAACCUCCCAUCAGAGGGGAUAACACUUGGAAACAGGUGCUAAACCGAUACUGAUGGAUGGACCCGCGGUGCCUUAGCUAGUUGGUGAGUUACCGGCUCACCAAGGCCACGAUGCAUAGCCGACUUGGGAGGGUGUUGGGCCGCAUGGGGACGGAGACACGGCCCAGACUCCUACGGGAGGCAGCAGUAGGGAAUCUUCGGCAAUGGAGGAAAGUCUGACCGAGCAAGGCCGCGUGAGUGAAGAAGGUUUUCGGAUGGUAAAACUCUGUUGUUAGAGAAGCGGUAUCUAACCAGAAAGCAACGGCUAACUACGUGCCAGCAGCCGCGGUAAUUC